ACGCUCGACACCUACGGGAUGCAGCAGUGGGGAAUAUUGCACAAUGGGGGAAACCCUGAUGCAGCGACGCCGCGUGGAGGAAGAAGGUCUUCGGAUUGUAAACUCCUGUUGUUGGGGAAAAAGAGGAUGGUACCCAACAAGGAAGUGACGGCUAACUACGUGCCCGCAGCCGCGGUAAUCUGAGCGGGCUGGCAAGGC
rnacentral:rRNA from 1 species